rnacentral:rRNA from 1 species
UACGGAGGUGGCAAGCGUUGUUCGGAAUUACUGGGCGUAAAAGGCGCGUAGGCGGCAAGGCAAGUCAGGUGUGAAAGCCCCGAGCUUAACUCGGGAAUUGCAUCUGAAACUGCUGUGCUUGAGUUCUGGAGGGGGUAGUGGAAUUCCCAGUGUAGCGGUGAAAUGCGUAGAUAUUGGGAGGAACACCUGCGGCGAAGGCGGCUACCUGGACAGAAACUGACGCUGAGGCGCGAAAGCUAGGGGAGCGAACGGG